rnacentral:rRNA from 1 species
AUUGAACGCUGGCGGCAGGCUUAACACAUGCAAGUCGAGCGGAGAGAGGUAGCUUGCUGCUGAUCUUAGCGGCGGACGGGUGAGUAAUGCUUAGGAAUCUGCCUAUUAGUGGGGGACAACAUUUCGAAAGGAAUGCUAAUACCGCAUACGUCCUACGGGAGAAAGCAGGGGAUCUUCGGACCUUGCGCUAAUAGAUGAGCCUAAGUCGGAUUAGCUAGUUGGUGGGGUAAAGGCCUACCAAGGCGACGAUCUGUAGCGGGUCUGAGAGGAUGAUCCGCCACACUGGGACUGAGACACGGCCCAGACUCCUACGGGAGGCAGCAGUGGGGAAUAUUGGACAAUGGGCGCAAGCCUGAUCCAGCCAUGCCGCGUGUGUGAAGAAGGCCUUAUGGUUGUAAAGCACUUUAAGCGAGGAGGAGGCUACUUUAGAUAAUACCUAGAGAUAGUGGACGUUACUCGCAGAAUAAGCACCGGCUAACUCUGUGCCAGCCGCCGCGGUAAUAC